AGUAAAAUAAAAUACCGCCAACCAAAAUGUCUAAGUUUUUUCUAGUUUCCCGUGUACCCAUUUCCCCUUACCCAUUUCUUCUUCUUCAAUCUUUCUCUUCACGAAGGCUAGUAGCUCUCUCGGUCUCUCUCGGUCUUUCUCGGUCAUUCCCGUAGGCAAGUAGCUCUCUCGGUCUCUCACUCCCCUUCACGAAAGACAAAUAUGAGAAGGGCUUCACCACAUUCGAGUCAAGGGUUUCUCUGAUUCAAGACGAAAUUACUACAGUUGAAAUUUCUUGUUUCAAUCUGCGAAGAACAACGAAGGAGCUUUACGCUAUCGUCCUUCGUACAAUGUUUCCCCAGGAUCAAACAUACUCGGUAUCCGCAGAGAAGACGGCUCUGAUGGUGCAGUGGUCCUCCAAUGCAUGAAAUGGGGACUUAUUCCCAGUUUCACUAAGAAAACUGAUCACUAUAAGAUGUUUAAUGCUCGAUCUGAGUCCAACAGUGAAAAGGCUUCUUUUCGUCGUCUUAUUCCUAAAAAUCGGUGCCUUGUUUCAGUAGAAGGGAUCUAAAUAGAUUUAUUGAUGAGAAGAGUGAAAGCAGAGGAGAAAAAAUUUAGCGGACUUACAAGAUACUAAAAGAGCACAAGAAUCCCAAGGUUCUUAGCGAGGGGCUACUGUGGAUGGUUUCAGCAAUGGAAGAUUUUGGCAUCUCACAUUUGAAACUUAAGGAUUUAAUUGAUUUUUGUAAAGAUACUGGACU